rnacentral:misc_RNA from 1 species
GAAAUGCGAUAAGUAAUGUGAAUUGCAGAAUUCAGUGAAUCAUCGAAUCUUUGAACGCACAUUGCGCCCGCCAGUAUUCUGGCGGGCAUGCCUGUUCGAGCGUCAUUUCAACCAUCAAGCCCCGCGCUUGUGUUGGGGACCUGCGGCUGCCGCAGGCCCUGAAAACCAGUGGCGGGCUCGCUGUCACACCGGGCGUAGUAGAUUUUAUCUCGCUCAGGGCGUGCUGCGGGUUCCGGCCGUUAAACAGCCUUACAAAACCCAAGGUUGACCUCGGAUCAGGUAGGAAGACCCGCUGAACUUAAGC